UGUGGCUAGAGGAACCCAGGCCUCCCUGAAAUAUGGCAAUGUCUUCGUGUGUGACUGGAUGUAUGUUUUAUGUUUAGGACUCCUGGGAGCGAGAAUUGGAGCACCACCCAGCACGUGCAGUGGAGUCCCACGAGUCCAGUGAUCUACUACGAGAAGAACAUAUCCUUGUCGGCCACUGGUCCAAGGAGAGUGAAACAUAUGUGAAGCUGACUUGCAUCCAACCUACAAUCUGGAGUAGUCACCAAGGUGAGUCAGGCUAGAACAGUUGUGUUCUAGCCAUCAACAGACCUAU
rnacentral:lncRNA from 1 species